rnacentral:rRNA from 1 species
UGGGGAAUUUUGGACAAUGGGCGAAAGCCUGAUCCAGCAAUGCCGCGUGUGUGAAGAAGGCCUUCGGGUUGUAAAGCACUUUUGUCCGGAAAGAAAUCCUUGGCUCUAAUACAGUCGGGGGAUGACGGUACCGGAAGAAUAAGCACCGGCUAACUACGUGCCAGCAGCCGCGGUAAUACGUAGGGUGCAAGCGUUAAUCGGAAUUACUGGGCGUAAAGCGUGCGCAGGCGGUUUGCUAAGACCGAUGUGAAAUCCCCGGGCUCAACCUGGGAACUGCAUUGGUGACUGGCAGGCUAGAGUAUGGCAGAGGGGGGUAGAAUUCCACGUGUAGCAGUGAAAUGCGUAGAGAUGUGGAGGAAUACCGAUGGCGAAGGCAGCCCCCUGGGCCAAAUACUGACGCUCAUGCACGAAAGCGUGGGGAGCAAACAGGAUUAGAUACCCUGGUAGUCCACGCCCUAAAACGAUGCCAACUAGUUGUUGGGGAUUCAUUUCCUUAGUAACGUAGCUAACGCGUGAAGUUGACCGCCUGGGGAGUACGGUCGCAAGAUUAAAACUCAAAUGAAUUGACGGGGUCAUAGCUGUUUCCU